rnacentral:lncRNA from 11 species
CACACACAAAUCAGAAGAUAUAUUGUGCUUGUUAUGCAUAUUUUGAGAGCAAAAAAAAGUUUGUGUGAAUCUGAGAUUCCAGCUUCAAGGUAAAGAAUUCUGCAGCAUUAUAGAAACCUGUCGAAGGCUUUUAUGGCCGGAAUCACUGGGUUACUGUGAGGUUUCUGAGCUGUAUGGCCAUGUUCCAGAAAAUUCUCUCCUGACAUUUCGCCACAUCCAUGGCAGGCAUCCUCAUAACAUCUAAUUUUCCCACUGUACAUAUGUAACGGUGCUCCAUGCAGUCAUGCCGGCCACAUGACCUUGGAGGUGCUACAGACAAUGCCAGCCCUUCAGCUUAGAAAUGGAGAUGAGCACCAAUCCCCAAAGUCGGACACAACUGGACUUAAUAUCAGGGGAAAACCUUUACCUCUUCUCUCUCUAUCUAUCUAUCUAUCUAUCUAUCUAUAUAUAUAUGGUGCUAAAAUAUUUGGGUUUUAAAACAUUUUGUCACUGUUUCUAUGAAUUGAAAUGGUGAUGUGCGUGGACCAUCACAUUUCUUUUCCUUCCUUUUUUUUAUCUUGGUGGUCUUCAUUUUAAUCCUGUAUUUUUGCCAUGCUACCAAUACAUAAUCACAAAAUUAAGCACAGAAUGAAUACAGUUACAGGAACUUUGGUGCUCCUGCCUGCUUCUUUGGAUGGUCUGCUGAGGUAACAAGUCACUGAAAAGUUCAAGAAUCGAUGCACUAACUUUCUUACUUGAAUUAUAAGCUUGCAAUGGCAAUAACAUUCCUAGCAACAUCUAGACAUUUGGAGGACCUGAGCAGAUUACCUGGACUGUGAAAAAUGGUUGGGAAGAAUCUACAUCUAUAUGUGGGGUUGUUUCCAAAAAGUACCAAAUCACCUGAACAAUUUUUUACAGGAAUCGGGGAAAAAAGAUGCUGUAAAUGCCAUUUUCCAAGCCCUGUGCCAAAGAAGUACAGGUCUCUUUUAAACAGAAAUGAAAUUGAAACACACCUCUGGUUUUGUAGAUAAACCUACAACCUGUUGUUGUCGACCGCACUUUAGGGGAUCGGGCCCUUUAGGAGAGACCCGACCCGGUCCUGAGGGAACGGACCUUGGCGAAGCCAAAAGGAGAAUAUAAGCCGCAAUGCAACCUGAAGCCUGAAAUGAAGAAGGUCCGCCAAAGAUGAAGGAAAAUCCGCCAAGGAGUCUUUAUUGAGCAAUUCAGCUGAAAAGGACGCUAAUAGCGAUCAUUAAAUCUACUAGCGUAACAUAUGUUUCAAAUAAAGCCAUAUUUAUACAAUGU